AUUGAACGCUGGCGGCAGGCCUAACACAUGCAAGUCGAGCGGAUGAAGAGAGCUUGCUCUCUGAUUUAGCGGCGGACGGGUGAGUAAUGCCUAGGAAUCUGCCUGGUAGUGGGGGAUAACGUUCCGAAAGGAACGCUAAUACCGCGUACGUCCUACGGGAGAAAGCAGGGGACCUUCGGGCCUUGCGCUAUCAGAUGAGCCUAGGUCGGAUUAGCUAGUUGGUGAGGUAAUGGCUCACCAAGGCGACGAUCCGUAACUGGUCUGAGAGGAUGAUCAGUCACACUGGAACUGAGACACGGUCCAGACUCCUACGGGAGGCAGCAGUGGGGAAUAUUGGACAAUGGGCGAAAGCCUGAUCCAGCCAUGCCGCGUGUGUGAAGAAGGUCUUCGGAUUGUAAAGCACUUUAAGUUGGGAGGAAGGGCAGUAAGUUAAUACCUUGUUGUUUUGACGUUACCGACAGAAUAAGCACCGGCUAACUUCGUGCCAGCAGCCGCGGUAACAC
rnacentral:rRNA from 1 species